AUCACAGUUUUGGCUCUUUUCCACAGACCCUGAUGGAUAAAAGAUGGAUAUUUUUUCCUGGAGAAGCUAAAACAAUGUAACUUUGAGGUUCUGAUACCAGCUUUUACAAAGUUAUUUACAGAGUUCACCAGACUUCUCUGUGUUAUUUCCUGACCAUGCCGAAAAGCUAUUUGAAACUUGGGCAUUGCAUUUUCCAGACAGAAUCCUGCAACUUCCCAGCCAAGAACCAGGAGCAUCAACAAAUCACCUCCAGAACCCCAUGAUGAUAUUCCAACUCCUGUCUACAAAAGUGGGAAGAAAAUCUUAAGUCUAUGUUGGGACCAACAUGGUUGCAUUCUUCUGAGAGGCUGAGGUGACAAAACCAUUCCCAUUUGUCCUUGGAUUGGAAGAUGGCGAUCUCUGCCAUCAAGCCUUCGUUGUUUUUGACAGACAGUCACUCCAGCAAUACACCCUCCUUGGUGAUGUUGACAUGUUUUAAACUUUUUUUUUAUGUUUUGGACAUUAAUUUUAAUAAGCAGUGCACGUCAGUGUGGGUGUUUUUGAAGACUGUUACCGCCAUACCGCGGUCACGUGACCCAUGCCGCGGGUCUGAGCUCCCCACCGUCAUAACCGCAAAAAAAAAAAAACUUGAAACAUUGGCCUGCACUUGUGUGUAUAUGUGGGGAUGUUAUACACGCAGCUUGUUAACAACAGCAACUUGUUA